GACGAACGCUGGCGGCGUGCCUAACACAUGCAAGUUGAGCGACGAACCAGGGCUUGCCCUGGGGCAAAGCAGCGAACGGGUGAGUAACACGUGGGUAACCUACCCCGAUAACCGGGACAACCCGAGGAAACUCGGGCUAAUACCGGAUGUGCUCACUGGACUUCGGUUCAGUGCGUAAAGGAAGCUUCGGCCUCCGUAUCGGGAGGGGCCCGCGGCCCAUUAGUUUGUUGGUGAGGUAACGACUCACCAAGACCGCGAUGGGUAGCUGGUCUGAGAGGACGAUCAGCCACACUGGGACUGAGACACGGCCCAGACUCCUACGGGAGGCAGCAGUGGGGAAUCUUGCGCAAUGCGCGAAAGCGUGACGCAGCAACGCCGCGUGGGGGAAGAAGGCCUUCGGGUUGUAAACCCCUUUCAGGAGGGACGAAGGUUCGGCGGUGAAUAGCCGUCCGGACUGACGGUACCUCCACAAGAAGCCCCGGCUAACUACGU
rnacentral:rRNA from 1 species